AUUGAACGCUGGCGGCAGGCCUAACACAUGCAAGUCGAGCGGAGCGGCGGACGGGUGAGUAUUGCUUAGGAAUCUGCAUGUUAGUGGGGGAUACCGACAGGCAAGGGGCGCUAAUACGCCUUACUAUCAGAUGAGCCUAGGUCGCAUUAGCUAGGUGGUGGGGGAAAGGCCUACCAAGGCGACGACCCGUAACUGGUCUGAGAGGAUGAUCAGUCACACUGGAACUGAGACACGGUCCAGACUCCUACGGGAGGCAGCAGUGGGGAAUAUUGGACAAUGGGCGAAAGCCUGAUCCAGCCAUGCCGCGUGUGUGAAGAAGGUCUUCGGAUUGUAAAGCACUUUAAGUUGGGAGGCGUUACCAACAGAAUAAGCACCGGCUAACUUCGUGCCAGCAGCCGCGGUAAUUC
rnacentral:rRNA from 1 species